AAACAUUCGGUCCGGGCGUGGCGUAAAACUAGUGUUUUACGCCACGCCAAUGAGAGCUCGCCACGUCAAAAAAUCUCCACACAGCAACAAAAAAAAAAGAGUCUCCCACAGAAAACCCUUCACGCACGCACAGAGCUUCCUUCAAACCUCCUUCACGCUCACAAAGAACCUCCUUCACGCCGAACCUCCACAACCUGCUCGCACGCUCGCCGGUUCACGCCAUUUGCUCUGCUUCCUCUCUUCCUUCACGCCGAACCUCCACCACCGCCACACAGAUCGCCAGAGCAGAACGAUUUCGAAGAAGAAGAGUUCGCCGGAGCUUGGAAACAAACCUGAGCCGCCGUGAGCCACGAUCCAAAGGACUCUUUGCCAAGUGUGACAUAUCCUUCUACAUCAUCAUUUACUAUGCAUAUAUAUCAUAACCAGUCAUCAUUUAUGGAUCCAUUACAACAAUUCCAAGAAAGUUGAUGUACAAACAAGUUUUGUGUCCAAGAGAAUGGAUUGGGAAGCAAAUAUUUUUUGGUUAUAUAAUGUGUAAAUUGUGGUGGAUAGACAUAGAACCAUCUUCUUUUUUUGUAUUUCCAACGUAGGGUCAUCUUUUUUUGUACAUUGAACUAUGACAUAUUUUAUUCUAGAUGAAUGUGUUCUCAAUUAGAAAUUUCCCAAAAGAAUUGUGACAUUUUAUUUCAAGAUGUAUGGUCAAUCAUAUGAUCUUUUAUGAAUUGAACUGUGACAGGUUUUAUUUCAGGU